rnacentral:rRNA from 1 species
CCUACGGGAGGCAGCAGUGGGGAAUAUUGGACAAUGGGGGAAACCCUGAUCCAGCGACGCCGCGUGAGUGUAGAAGUAUUUCGGUACGUAAAGCUCUAUCAGCAGGAAAGAAAAUGACGGUACCUGACUAAGAAGCCCCGGCUAACUACGUGCCAGCAGCCGCGGUAAACCGUAGGGGGCAAGCGUUUUCCGGAUUUACUGGGUUUAAAGGGAGCAUAGACGGCAGCGCAAGUCUGGAGGGAAAUGCCGGGGCCCAACCCCUGAACUGCCCUGGAAACUGUGAAGCUGGAGUGCAGGAGAGGUAAGAGGAAUUCCUGGUGUAGCGGUGAAAUGCGUAGAUAUUAGGAGGAACACCGGUGGCGAAGGCGGCUUACUGGACCGUAACUGACGUUGAGGCUCGAAAGCGUGGGGAGCAAACAGGAUUAGAUACCCCUGUAGUC